UACAGAGGGUGCAAGCGUUAAUCGGAAUUACUGGGCGUAAAGCGUGCGUAGGCGGUUACAUAAGUCGGAUGUGAAAGCCCCGGGCUCAACCUGGGAAUUGCAUUCGAGACUGUGUAGCUAGGAUGCGGAAGAGGGAAGCGGAAUUUCCGGUGUAGCGGUGAAAUGCGUAGAUAUCGGAAGGAACACCAGUGGCGAAAGCGGCUUCCUGGUCCAGCAUCGACGUUCAGGCACGAAAGCGUGGGGAGCAAACAGG
rnacentral:rRNA from 1 species